rnacentral:lncRNA from 1 species
UUUCCACAAAUACUGCAGUAAUAAUUUUAAAUAAGGAGUGACCAAUUAUAAAUUUUGCAUUGUACUAAAAUAUCAAGAAAGAUCCCUCUUUUUAUCUCAUCCCCUCUCUCCUUGAUGUACACGUUGCCGCCUCUCCCUCUCCUCGACUGUCCCAACUCCAGCCACCGUUGGCCAUAAAACUCCAGCCAGAAGGACUUCUCGACGCUGCCAGCUCUCCGUCACCACUGGUUUCACCCAAAACGGCUGGCAAACAGCGGAGUAAGGAGGAGAAAAUCUAGCAAUCGUUUCCACCAUUGGAACACUUCCGAUUGUCAUUUUCUGGGUGAUUGGAGGCUCAUAAUCAACUCCCUACUCCUAAAAAUCUUAGGACGAACGACAACCUUUAACGUUCGGGUCUUGCCGAUGAACAGAGUUAGCUUGGAUUUAAAGCUUUUGAAACCCCGCUUCGCGAUCUACGUGUUGGUAGGCUCGGAUAAAAUUUCAUCGCUAUCGAAAAUUUUCGGCGAUUAGACCCGGUGGCCUCGGGACGCGCAUGCCGAUGGUCUCGACCUUCUGAACUCCUAUGUGAUAGUGUCAUAUUUGUUUCUGAUAAGGCUGUCGAUCAAAAUAACCUAACUAAAUCUUCUAACCAUAUAGUCGGUCAAGUAAGGUCGAAUCCUCG